UGAAUGUGGAAAUCUGCCUGAAAAAUCUCGGGCUUACCUUCAGUGACUGUCACCCUCUCUUCUCUAUUCAGACUGCCCUUCCCUGCCGCCACACCCCUUCCCCUUUCAUUAUCGAUUUUAGAUGUCAUCUUGACAACAAGGGACACAGAUUCAGUGAAGAAAUGUCCACCUCCUUUCAACUGCCAUUCAUAAAGACCUCUUGACUGCACCUCCUGCUUCCCAGUUUCUACAGAAAUGGUGAUCUCUAGAGAGGAAUAAAAGCAUGUUUGGUGGAGCUACAAGACCCUUCUUCCUGAUGAAGAUCGAUUCUAAUCAGCCUUCAAAAGUUAGAGAUAUACUGAGAUCAAAGUUAUAUUUCAUAGCAUCUAAAGAAAGCUGCACUAUAAUAACGAAAUAUCCCUCCUCUGCCUAGCUAUUCAUAGGCCACAGGAAAAAAUAAUAGCAGUCACUUUUAAGGGCACAACAUAUUUGAGAAACUUCAAAAAACUACAUAUGCAUCUGUAUUCAAGCACUUGUAAAAGUCCCAGCUAAGUCAAAUUUAAGUUACACUCAAUCUCUUAAGCUAAUGACAAUGGUGCCCUUUUCAUUAGGAAUAUAUCCUUGUUUAAAAAUAUACAGGUAAAGAAAUCAGUAUGUAUCCUAUUUUGAGAAUGUUAAGCAAAAUACAAACCCAAAUUUUUAAUUUGGUGAUAAAUGGAAAAGAAAUAAGAUAACCUGGGGACUCCUGACUACGUUUUAGCCUUAGAAAGUAGUUUUCUAGUCUCACAUCUUCCCCUUCACUAAUUUGGAAGCAUGAAAUAGUGGGUAAGUUUGCCCUUUCAUACAAGUGUGGAAUAGCUGUAUCUUAGGAGAACAAAUAUAUUUUACUUCAGGUCAUCAAUUAUAGAACAAUCUCUCUAUCUACCAACCUGCCAAGAUAAUACUAUUUUUAAAUUAUCGGAGAACCAAAUUGAAACCUGAAAUUCUGUAGUAUGUAUCUAUGCUUGUAAAAUUAAUUCUGUAAAAACCCUGGUUAAAAAUGAAAAAAAAAAGUCUAGCAUGUGAUUAUUAGAUGCAUUAUAAUAAACCCAAAGAUUUCAGUCCUAAAAACAACAACUACAACAGCUUAGGUCUUUAAAAAGCUCUCACAGCUACAAAGGAGAUUUGGGAAAAUGUUGUAAAAGGCAACACUGAAAAGAUCUGUUUCCUUUGAACCUCUGAACUAGCUAGACUUUGAUCCAACAUCCUGCCCUUUGAAUAAUGUCCACUCAUUCCCUUGGUUUUGUAAUAGCAAACAAUAAAUAGUAUCAGCCUUUGGGACUAGAAGUGAGAAUAGACAUAUAGUGCCCCACCCCCACCCUCUGACUUCAAAGCAUCCUUGAGGGGAGCUAUUCAGUCCUUAAGGAAGGUAAUUUUAGGGAAGACCCCUCCAAAGAAACCCAGCGAAAACGCAAGAAGAAAAAGCUCCAAUUGUCAUGGACUAGGCUAUUCUCAGUGGAGGUAAAAUGAGCUUACAAGCAAGCAGCCCUGUUGUAAAUGUCCCAGCAAAGUUUGAAUGACAGUCCAUCCGUUGAUUCUGUACCAUUCACCAUUUCUUUUUCUUUGUGGGAAUAAAACUACCUGUUUUAUAUCUGA